GCCGAGAUAGCUCAGCUGGGAGAGCAACAGACUGAAGUGUAGAGACAGUCACUGCAUUCUGGAGGUCGGGUGUUCAAUCCACCCUCUUGGCA